rnacentral:lncRNA from 1 species
AAAUGGAGUUCUAGAGAGUCCACCCCACGGUUCAGCCAGACCUGCCCAGACGUCUCAAUCGGGAUUGAAAGUUUUGCCUGGGCUCCCAUGGGGCCUCCUGCUUCUGGAAAUGCAUUAUGAAGCUCUUGACUGAGAACGGGGAUGGUUUCUGCAGAUAAACACCUGAAAAGGAAAGCAAGUGACAGUGACAGGGACUGGGAACCUGGGAGCUUCUCAGCAUCUCCUUUUCACACUCUGCCUCUGAGCAGCUGGGAAUCCUUACCCCUCCAAUCUCCUGACUGCUCAUCUCCCUGGAGCCAGGACCCUGAAUCAGUAUUCACGGCCUGUUAGUGGCUUGCAAGGCAGAGCAGACAGAUGGACGUGCUCGGGAAGCCUAUUGAUCAGCCCUUGGUGUGACCUGCCCAGACCUGGUUCUGUUUCAAGCACUGAUCACGUGGACAAGGAGUCCUUAAUUCCUCUCAGCACCAUUUGAGAUGAGCAACUACACAAGACAAAGACGAAAGGCUUUUUCAGCUCAAAAAUCCUGUGAUUCUUUGAUUCUAAGAAGAGAUUUUCUUACAAGGAGUUUGCCUAAGGGACUUUGAAUUUGCUGUGUCU